GACGAACCUUGCUAACGUUAUUCGGAAUUACUGGGCUUAAAGGGUGCGUAGGCGGUGCAGCAAGUCGGGUGUGAAAUCCCUCGGCUCAACCAAGGAAGUGCAUCCGAAACUGCCGAGCUUGAGUACUUAAGAGGAUCGCGGAAUUCCCGGUGUAGAGGUGAAAUUCGUAGAUAUCGGGAGGAACACCAGUGGCGAAGGCGGCGAUCUGGGAAGAUACUGACGCUGAGGUGCGAAAGCGUGGGGAGCGAACAGG
rnacentral:rRNA from 1 species